rnacentral:rRNA from 1 species
UAGGGAAUAUUGCAAAAUGGGCGAAAGCCCGAUGCAGCAACGCCGCGUGGGCGAUGAAGGCCUUCGGGUCGUAAAGCCCUUUUUGAGGGGAUGAGUAAGGACAGUACCCUCAGAAUAAGCCUCGGCUAACUACGUGCCAGCAGCCGCGGUAAAACGUAGGAGGCGAGCGUUAUCCGGAUUUACUGGGCGUAAAGCGCGUGCAGGCGGAUUGGAGAGUUGGAUGUGAAAGCUCCCGGCUUAACUGGGAGAGGUCGUUCAAUACUUCCAGUCUUGAGUGCGGUAGAGGGAAGUGGAAUUCCGGGUGUAGUGGUGAAAUGCGUAGAUAUCCGGAGGAACACCAGUGGCGAAAGCGGCUUCCUGGACUGUAACUGACGCUCAGACGAGAAAGCUAGGGUAGCAAACG